rnacentral:rRNA from 1 species
UACAGAGGUCUCAAGCGUUGUUCGGAUUUACUGGGCGUAAAGGGUGCGCAGGCGGUCGGAUAAGUCGGGUGUGAAAUCCCAAAGCUCAACUUUGGAACUGCGCUCGAAACUAUCCGGCUAGAGGACUGGAGAGGAGACUGGAAUUCCUGGUGUAGCGGUGAAAUGCGUAGAUAUCAGGAGGAACACCCGUGGCGAAGGCGGGUCUCUGGACAGUUCCUGACGCUCAUGCACGAAAGCCAGGGGAG